GAUGAACGCUAGCGGGAGGCCUAACACAUGCAAGCCGAGCGGUAUUGUUUCUUCGGAAAUGAGAGAGCGGCGUACGGGUGCGUAACACGUGUGCAACCUGCCUUUAUCUGGGGGAUAGCCUUCCGAAAGGAAGAUUAAUACUCCAUAAUAUAUUGAACGGCAUCGUUUAAUAUUGAAAGCUCCGGCGGAUAGAGAUGGGCACGCGCAAGAUUAGCUAGUUGGUGAGGUAACGGCUCACCAAGGCGAUGAUCUUUAGGGGGCCUGAGAGGGUGAUCCCCCACACUGGUACUGAGACACGGACCAGACUCCUACGGGAGGCAGCAGUGAGGAAUAUUGGUCAAUGGGUGCAAGCCUGAACCAGCCAUCCCGCGUGAAGGACGACUGCCCUAUGGGUUGUAAACUUCUUUUGUAUAGGGAUAAACCUACCCUCGAGAGGGUAGCGGAAGGUACUAUACGAAUAAGCACCGGCUAACUCCGU
rnacentral:rRNA from 1 species